AUAAGAAGCGAAUCGCACUCAGUUUCGACCUGAACUAUGGGGCAACCCCUUGUA
rnacentral:tRNA from 1 species